AUUGAACGCUGGCGGCAUGCCUUACACAUGCAAGUCGAACGGCAGCACGGGGCAACCUGGUGGCGUGUGGCGAACGGGUGAGUAAUGCAUCGGAACGUACCUUUCAGUGGGGGAUAACGUAGCGAAAGUCACGCUAAUACCGCAUAUUCUGUGAGCAGGAAAGCAGGGGAUCGCAAGACCUUGCGCUGAUUGAGCGGCCGAUGUCAGAUUAGCUAGUUGGUGAGGUAAAGGCUCACCAAGGCGACGAUCUGUAGCGGGUCUGAGAGGAUGAUCCGCCACACUGGAACUGAGACACGAUCCAGACUCCUACGGGAGGCAGCAGUGGGGAAUUUUGGACAAUGGGGGCAACCCUGAUCCAGCCAUGCCGCGUGAGUGAAGAAGGCCUUCGGGUUGUAAAGCUCUUUCGGCCGGGAAGAAAUCGCACGGGCUAAUACCCUGUGUGGAUGACGGUACCGGAAUAAGAAGCACCGGCUAACUACGUGCCAGCCGCCGCAGUAACAC
rnacentral:rRNA from 1 species